rnacentral:rRNA from 1 species
AGUGAACGCUGGCGGUAGGCCUAACACAUGCAAGUCGAACGGCAGCACAGUAAGAGCUUGCUCUUACGGGUGGCGAGUGGCGGACGGGUGAGGAAUACAUCGGAAUCUACUUUUUCGUGGGGGAUAACGUAGGGAAACUUACGCUAAUACCGCAUACGACCUACGGGUGAAAGCAGGGGAUCUUCGGACCUUGCGCGAUUGAAUGAGCCGAUGUCGGAUUAGCUAGUUGGCGGGGUAAAGGCCCACCAAGGCGACGAUCCGUAGCUGGUCUGAGAGGAUGAUCAGCCACACUGGAACUGAGACACGGUCCAGACUCCUACGGGAGGCAGCAGUGGGGAAUAUUGGACAAUGGGCGCAAGCCUGAUCCAGCCAUACUGCGUGGGUGAAGAAGGCCUUCGGGUUGUAAAGCCCUUUUGUUGGGAAAGAAAAGCAGCAGGUUAAUACCCCGCUGUUCUGACGGUACCCAAAGAAUAAGCACCGGCUAACUUCGUGC